CUCGAGUCCGGUAGCGCAGACAUGGAAGAAGGAAAAAGAAGACGCAGGGGCACCGAGUGCUGCCUUCUGGGAAGAUAUCAAAAACAUUCUACAGAAAACUUCAGAAGGCUUUGCCAAAGGGGUUCUCCUCCAGCUGGGCCAGUGGAUGGUGGGGAAGGAAGUCACCGUGGGGAAGGGGCCCUGGUGCAGCACGGUCAUCUACAAAGGCUGAAGCCUCUUUAGUAGGAACCGCACUUUUCAAGCCACCACUGGGUGUGGCCCAGAGGAAGCCUCUGAGGACUUAGCCUCCAGCACAGCAGCAUCAGCCACUCAGCCUGGGGAAAGUGGGAUGGCAACAAGGCCAGGUGAGAGGAGUACCACAUAACACACGUGAUCAUUCUCAUGCAGAGCGGAGGGUGUGACUAUUGUCACACACUGAACAAGGAAGAGCUCUUCUUCAUUCAGGAGGAAUUCCGGCUCCUACCCUAGGCUGGAUUCAUAUAAGCAAAUCUGACCUUCCCAAUGGUGGACUCUUCUCUUGUACAUUGGAGAGUUUUGGACAGAGUCAGUCCAUUCCAGAUGAUCCUCUCUGAGCACAUGCAGUUCCUAGUGUUCUAGCGUUAAGUCAAAGUAGCAUUUCCCAGGGCUUUUACAGCUUUUCUGAUUGUAUCUGUUACUCAAAGUAAUUCUUCAAAGUUGCAGUCCCUUGUGAGUCUGGGUGGUAUAAAGUAGCUGGCCUAGGAUGUAGGAGAUCAUGGCAUAGAGACCACGCACUGCAGAAGAGAAACUUUUAAAUGAGCCAAAGGAGUCGUCCUGAUGGCUGUAUUUUGUCUCUAUGGAGCAGCACUUGCCUUCGUUCACACCCAAAGUACUCACUCCUACGUGCAUAAUUCCAAGUGUUUGCAUGUGCCCUGCCUUGUGGCUGUUCCUGCAAACAUCACAGUCAGCAGAAACAAUCUGGGUAAGGUCAAGUGAAACUCAGGUUCAGCCCUACUUCAGUUAGCCCGCUGGGCCAAAUCUUCCGGGGUCUGACAUCAAGCAAUUUAUAUCUUAACACUUUGAAACAUAGUAAAACUUUGGGGAGGCUUCCACGUGACAGCUAUCACAACGGAGCUUCAUGACAGCACUUCAUGUUAAACCAAUUAUCUGUCCCAGCUCUUCAUUUUUGCUUUUGUUAAAAAGUUCCAAAGGAGCAAAGCAUUCUUCAGGGCAAGCUUCACUUCAGAUUUCUGCGAGAGCGUGAAGUAGAGAACAAAUAUGCGCUUAAGUUCCGUAACCACAUGAUGGAGUUCUUCCAGUCCCAGUGACACGCAGAAAAAGGGCAGGUUCCACUCUUCUGGGAUCUCUGUCACAAUCUCUCUUCCAACGCUGGGAAGAAAGAAAACUGGCUUCCAGAUAAGUGUAAAAGUUGUAUGUUACCCGUACAUGUGUGGGUGCACAUAGUGUGUCCACAUGUGUGCAGAGGGAGAUGAGAGGAGAGCAGGCAGUGGUCGGGAUCCUCUCAGCUCUGACUGACUAGCACUCAGGUUCUUUAUACAGGUUUCAGAACUAAGACAGACUAAUGAUUAUCCGAGAAGUACAAAUUAUGUGUUUGAUUAUUCACUACAUGCCCAAGGUUACAUGUUCAAUAGAAAUUAGAAAAUACAAAUAAUGUUAUCAGCCUAUAACGUCAAUUCAAAGAAUCUAAAGACUGUCUCCUCCAAAGCAAGCACGUAUAACAGCCUGCUUUCAGGCUGGCAGCUUUACAGCACUCCAGACAAAACAUCUGGGCCAGGUUUCUUAUGAACAGCAAAGACUAACAUCUAACUUCGUUCACUAUGUGUCAUCACCUGUGCUGUCAAGUAGGGAAGGGUUAUUUUAAUCUAAUUUACUGAGUUUUAUUCUUCCAUGGUGUACCCUGGACGACUCCCUAUCUUUAUAUUUUCAGAGACUUCUUAAGUGUAUUGUAAAGUGGAGCCUUGAAUCCGUUACCAGUUCUGGCGAGUCAGAGUUUAUCAGUUGUCUGUCUGCCCUUCACCAAUUAUGCUGUUAGAGUUUGCUCAGGGGCAGACACCUGGAGUUCUGGCCUCAUCUGGCUAUGUGCUUAUCUGCACUUAA
rnacentral:lncRNA from 1 species